rnacentral:misc_RNA from 1 species
GAUGAAGAACGUAGCGAAAUGCGAUAAGUAAUGUGAAUUGCAGAAUUCAGUGAAUCAUCGAAUCUUUGAACGCACCUUGCGCUCCUUGGUAUUCCGAGGAGCAUGCCUGUUUGAGUGUCAUGAAAUUCUCAACCUUUUCAGCUUUCUUUGUUGAUCAGGCUUGGAUGUGGGAGUAUGCGGGCUUCUCAGAAGUCGGCUCUCCUGAAAUGCAUUAGCGGGACCUUUGUUGCCUGGCUUUGGUGUGAUAAUUAUCUACGCCAUUGUAGUCAAGGAGCUUAAAAUGAGGUUUCAGCUUCUAACCGUCUCCCCUGAGACAACUUUUUGACAACUUGACCUCAAAUCAGGUAGGACUACCCGCUGAACUUAAGCAUAUCAAUAAGCGGAGGA